CUCACGCUCAAUUCUAAGAAACGGGAAGCCGUUACCAUAUAUGGGCAUUGCUUCCUGAAGCUAGUGCUAACCAUUUCGGUGCAUACAGCUCACUAUCGAGGAAAUACGUAUCUAUCAUGGCCACAUAUGGAGGUUUCGCCGUACCAUGUAGAAUUCUGUCGUUUAGACUAUGAAAGAUUUAGUAUUUUUCAAUUUUGAUGCGUCUAAGCAUCAUUUAAUGCAUUUAGUUUUUGAUGCAUGUUGCCUGAAGAAAAGAAGCAGAUAUUUACUGAUUUUUUUACAUCGUGGCGGCUUACAGAAAAACUUUGUUUCAUGAAACGAAACUUUGUGAAAAGUCGAAAGAAAGUUUACACAAUUCUUUAUCGACGUUUUUUUUUUUAAUCUUGCGAAAGUCUGAAAUGUUCUGCUAAACUGCUGUAAAGUUCAUUUAAGCUGCAUUGAUAAAUCUUCAACAGAAACUACAGAAAUAUUCGCCGCAUCUUGCAUUGGUUAAACAACCUCUCUUGCAAACAGAAUAGAUGUUAUUUUCCCUUCAAUACCGGAAGGGACCAAGUUUCCUAUUUACUACUUUAUAAUUUAGCACUAACAUACCUAAUGCAGAGAGAAUUAAAAUGCCAACUAGAAGAAAUAAAUAUUUCUAUGAAUAAUUGAGAAAAUGUCGAUUUUAAUGUUUUGUUAGUGUUUACACAUCUCUCGGUUCCUUUUAAUAUUGUCAGAAUCAUCCUCACCUCGAUCAAUAUUUCUCAUAGGACUGGAGCUCAUGAGAAUGGAAGAGGGGGCGGACAAAUUGUCAUGAUUAAUGAAAUUAAGACGAUUUUAAACUUUUUCAACUUGUCUAACACCAUAACAAAGAAAGAGUAAUUUGAUCCAAGCUCUGUUGUUUCUUCAUUUGAAAAGAGGGGUGAGGGCUGGUAUUUGUUAGUUUGAGAAUCUAGCUAUGUAUCUCUCUUUCCUCUUAGGUUCUGUGGGUGUAAGUUAGGCACAAGUAGUUUUAAACGUAUUUUAUUCAAGAUUUCGCUGUUAAGGCUUUUGAAAAAGUGCAAUGUGGCCAAUAUUGCUAUGAUGAUCCACUUGAUGAGGCCGGGUAUUAUAUUUAGGCUUGUGAUAGCUUACAGAUCAAAUCGAGUUAUUAAAUCUGCAGAAAGAAUCGAACUUUUCUCCAAUUAUCUUGUAUGAAAUAUUUUGUAUAAAUUCCGGUAUAAACAAUGUCAAAUUAGAGAAAUAGCAAUGACUGUUAUAUUGAUUGAAGUUAUCUUACAAAGGAACAAUAUUAAAAAAAUCAAGCCGGAUAGGGAAUAUGGUGCAGAAUUCAUAUUUUAAGAACGGUAGCAAUGUAAAUGGAGUAAUGAAGGUCACCACUGGAAACUGAACGAGUUUUGUUUUUAUGAAACAUCAUGGUACAGCUAUUUACAGAGAGACAGAUUUCGAUAGAGAAUUUAAAAGAUGAUUUUAAAAUAUUAUUUAGAACCUUCAAAAGUUGAGUAUCUACAUAUUUCCAUUGGGGACUCGCCCUACAACAUUUUACUAAUGUAAGUAAGCAAUAAAUAACAUAACUACCUACUACACUAAUUUCUGUGAAUAUAAUUCCAAAAAGUAUUCGCUUCAAACAAGCGAGAGAUUGAAUAACCAAAAAAUUAAGUUUUGGAUUCGAUACAGUCGUUAAAAACUUUAACUACAUCGAAAUGUUAUAUUUAGAUUAAUAAACUAAUUAGUGAUUUUCAUGACCAGGAUGAAGGAUUUGAGAGAGGGGCGUCGCCUUGCAUUUUAGUUCUUAAAUAUAAGCUAGGAGUGGUUGUGUGGUUAGUAGCUUGCUUACGAACCACAUGGUUCCGAGUUCAGUCCCACUGCGUGGCACCUUGGGCAAGUGUCUUCUACUAUAGCCUCGGGCCGACCAACGCCUUGUGAGUGGAUUUGGUAGACGGAAACUGUAAGAAGCCAGUCGUUUAUAUGUGUGUUUGUCACCCAACAUCGCUUGACAACCGAUGCUGGUGUGUUUACGUCCCUGUAACUUAGCGGUUCGGCAAAAGGGACGGAUAGCAUAAGUAUUAGGCUUACAAAGAAUAAGUUCUGGGGUCGAUUUGCUCGACUAAAGGUGGUGCUGCAGCAUGGCCACAGUCAAAUGACUGAAACAAGUAAAAGAGUAUAUUAGCAACUGAUGUUUAUAGUCUGGACUUUUUACCAGUUGAUGUUUGUAUUAAACAUGCUACUUGGUUGGGAAUUACAGCAACCCUUAUUUAAGAGACUGACGUUUCUAGGAGCAAGCAUAAUAAAUUGCAUACAGAGAAAGGUUGUCUAAUCUGGAUGUCGGGGCAAAGUUUUAGACAAUGUAUAUGUAUUAUAUGAUAAAUAUAUGAUUGAUAGUUCUUUUCUCUCUUGAUCUGGCAGAAAAUGAGACAUUGAGUAAAUAUUUAAACUAGAACAAAUCAAGAUAAACGUUUAUUUUAAGAAAAUGACAGCGACUGAUAUUUUAUUAUUGUAAUUCAGUUUUACCAACUGAUAGUUUUCCGGGGUUUUUUUUUUUGGGGGGGGGGUUAUAUAUUUAUAUAAGUCUAAACCAAAUACAGCGCUAUGAGCCUAAAAUAAUAUAUUAGUGAAAAAUUUAGAAAAAAAUUUCUCACUUUUUGUUUUAUUUUUAAACUUGCUUUUGUCGAAAAAAGUUUAGAAUGGAGGGUGGGGUGGAAAUUUACUUGGAUAAGUUUCAAAAACCCGUUUCUUUAAAGAAUUUCUAGAUUUUAGGAACGACACGAAUGUACAAGUUUAAUAUUAUUUCUGUCUCAUGUAUCAUAGUCAUCACCCUCCAUCUUGUCGCAGCAUUCACAUACAACUGAUUUGGGAGGUUUCUAUAAUGUUGCUUCCACUCUACUUCCGGUGACCCGUUUCUCUUCAAUUUCUAAAUUUUAUUUUUAAUUUUUUUCUUAAUAAAGCAAUUGCCUUGUAAAGUUUUCCAUGAGGAAAUUACAAUUCAGUUACAAUAAAUGUAUUUUAAAAACAUUUAUCCCUCCCCACCAAAUUGGAAGUAGUGGAAAUGUAAUUCUAGCUAGGGUUUGGUCCUAAUUCUAAUCAAAAUAGAAAUGGGUGGUUGUGUUUAAUCAGCUUUUUUUCCUUUCCUUCACUGGUAUUAAUAGUGAAAGCUAUUUUGUCUGUUCCUCUUCUACUGAGAAAAUAAUUCUCUCAUAGGGCCAACAGGAACAGGUACCAACUUGGUUUCGUUUAGAAAACUACAUUAAAGCGAAAACUAAAUACAGUUCGAUAAUUAACACAUAAUUAACACGUAAGCCAAAUAUCAGCGAGGAACCCACUUCCUUCUUCUGUGACCCAGUUCAUGUUAUACUGUAAAUGUGCGUGUAAUAAACAUAUAUAUAUUAAAAGUUUGAGAAGUCAAAAAUAAAGAUCGCACUUAUACACUGGGAUAUGAAAAUCAUACACGCCCACGCGUUGCAGUUGUAGAAUUUGAAAGAAGAAAGAUAAGUUAAAACUGUUAAGAGAAUAGUUACAAUUACAAGAGUUCUCUCCCACUAUUCUAUAAAUGGUUUAAAAUGUGGUCAGGUCAAGUAGCUUUUACAUCUCGCAGCAUUUUGGCUUUUUUCUAGUUCUUCUAUUGUAUAUUUUAGGCGAGUAUUUCGUUCUGCUCAGCUGGUUUUCAAGGCCGUCAUUUUGCAGGAGUUUUCAGUUAAUUCUAAUUAUACUUUCUAAAAAGUGAGCUGUUAGACUUAAUUAUUAUUGAAACUGUGCCGGCUGUCAUUUCUUCCUCAUUCCGCCAGGAAGGAAUAUAAUGGUGACACAAUUUUACUGUUGUUCUCCAAAAACAUUCUCUGAAAAUUCAGUUCCGAAACAAAUAAUUCACAUAUAACACAGUCUAACACUGUAGUUUUGAAAGUUCUAUACAUGAACUCUCUCUCUCUCUCUCUCAAUAUUUAUAAGCGUUUUUCUCCAACUUAUCAGAGGUAGUGUUAAUUAGAUAGCGAAGAUAGGAAUUACAGAAAUAUGGAGAGAAGAAAAUAAUAAAAUCUAAUUCUUUACGGUCACAUUUUUCCUUUUAAUUUUCAUGAUUAAUUGACAUAAGGUUCAUCUUGAAUCAAACACCGAUCCAGUUACCAUUGGCCUUGACAUCUUACAUUGACACAUCUUACUGAAAACAUUCACCUUGAUCCGACUAACUGUCUGGAAAUCAGUCAAGAGGAGACUAUCAACACUUUGUGUAUAUCCUCUUAUAUCAACAUCAACCCCUGCACAUCACUGUCUCGCGUAUUAUGACUCAUAGGGUCGGUUAGCCGAUUUCCAUGAUGUAUAGGUGAGCGAGAUCACAACAUUCCCUCUUGAAUGGGACACCAGCCCGUUUCAGGGUAACUUAUUUACAGCUGAGCGAUCUAGAGCAACAUGAAAUGAGGUAUUCACCCGAACACAACGCACUGCCCAGUACGGGAAUCGAAACCACGAUCUUCCAAUCGUGAAUGCAACACCCUAACCACUAGGCCAUGCAACUACCCUGUAGUAAUAAAGGUUAUUUUAUUGCUUCCCAGAAACUUAUUUUUGAGGCCUUGUUUGCUAAAUAAAUAACUUCUAAGAAGAUGUUCUGUACAACUGCUUGAUACGAAAAAAAACAAACAGUAAAAAUGGAUGUUGUAUAACAAAUCUUGAAUUGGUGUACAAAUUUUAACAUUACUACAUACGAUCAUAUAUACUACUAUAGCUGUAUAUCUAUAAAUGUAAUUAAUAAAGACCUAAGUUAUGAGCACUCCCACCCUCUCCCACCGCUUCACUAAUAAUAAUAAUAAUAAUACAGCAGCUGUUUGAGAUAGAUUUACUGUCCGGAUGGGUUUAUACAACAAAUGUUUCAUUACGAAAGCAACAUUUCAUUGUGAAUAUGUUGAAUGUCCUAGCUAUGGUUGACGUGCUUUUUCUAAAACUUCGUUUGCGUGCAUAUAUAUAGCUUUGGAAAAAUAGAUAGGUUUGAGAUAAAAUAAAAUGAGUUAUUUGCUUGCUUUAAUAUAAAUAGGCUGACGUUACUGAAUAUAGUUCAGCCGUGAUUAGUCAGUGUGGUUAUUUUAAAGGUUUAUACUUAGUUAUAUAUUCGUAAUUUCGUAGAUGUACUUGUUUGGCAAGUGGUUUUAUAAUUGAUGCUAUUUUAACAAUGAAAUAAAAAAUACAAAUGUAUCUUUCUUUUCAAUAAAGAAUUCUACUUCGAUCGAUGUAAUAAAUAUCUUUUUGUGAAUAAAGAUUAUUUAACUAUA